CGACGCCCUCAUCCUCGUCACCCCUGGGGCCCCCACUGAGAAGGACUGGGCCCAGGUCCAGGCCUUGCUGCUACCAGAUGCGCCUCUUGUCUGCGUGCGCACAGACGGCGAGGGCGAGGAUCCGGAGUGUCUGGGAGAAGGCAAGAUGGAGAAACCCAAGGGCGAGAGCUUAAAGAACGCAGGUGGAGGGGGAUUGGAGAAUGCACUCAGUAAGGGAAGGGAAAAAUGUAGCGCUGGAUCGCAGAAAGCAGGAGUCAUGCCAGAGAUCAUAUCUGAGAAAGCAAGACAAUUUUGUGUGUGUGUCUGUGCCCAUAGAGGAGUGCUGGUUGUGUUGAUAUAGUUGUAGAUUGGUUGUGUUUACACAGUUGUAUAUAUUGACACCCUUGAGUGUUAUGACUUCUUUUGGGGGUGGUCGCCUUUUAAAUCAUGACUUUUGAUGGGAUUCCAUUUUAGUCUUUGUGAAGACAUAAGGUUGUUGGCAGGCAUCUGUCCCUG
rnacentral:sRNA from 1 species